rnacentral:rRNA from 1 species
CGCGUGAGGGAUUAAGGCCCUGCGGGUCGUAAACCUCUUUUGCCGGGGAGCAGUGGUCCGGACGCGUCCGGGCCGGGAGAGUACCCGGAGAAAAAGCAUCGGCUAACUCCGUGCCAGCAGCCGCGGUAAUACGGAGGAUGCGAGCGUUAUCCGGAUUUAUUGGGUUUAAAGGGUGCGUAGGCGGGCAUUUAAGCCGGCGGUCAAAUGUCGGGGCUCAACCCCGGCCUGCCGUCGGAACUGGGUGCCUUGAGUGGGCGAGAAGUAUGCGGAAUGCGUGGUGUAGCGGUGAAAUGCAUAGAUAUCACGCAGAACCCCGAUUGCGAAGGCAGCAUACCGGCGCCCUACUGACGCUGAGGCACGAAAGUGCGGGUAUCGAACAGGAUUAGAUACCCUGGUAGUCCGCACAGUAAACGAUGGAUGCUAUCUGUCCGGGCCGAAUGAGGCCUGG